GGAGGCAGCAGUGGGGAAUCUUGCACAAUGGACGAAAGUCUGAUGCAGCGAUUCCGCGUGGAGGAUGACGCAUUAUGGGGUGUAAACUCCUUUUCUGGUGGAAGAAGAAUGACGGUACACCAGGAAUAAGAGACGGCUAACUACGUGCCAGCAGCCGCGGUAAUACGUAGGUCUCAAGCGUUAUCCGGAUUUACUGGGCGUAAAGUGUCCGUAGACUGAUACAUAAGUCCGUUUUCAAAUACUCCGACUCAAUCAGAGAAAGGGGAUGGAUACUGUGUAUCUAGAAAUUAUUAGGGGUUAGUGGAAUUUCCGGUGGAGCGGUGAAAUGUGUUGAUAUCGGAAAGAACGCCGAAAGCGAAAGCAGCUAACUAUGAUAUUUCUGACGGUGAUGGACGAAAGCUUGAGUAGCAAACGGGAUUAGAUACCCCGGUAGUUCAAGCUGUAAAUUAUCCUCGCUAGGUGUCUCCAUAACUUUUGUGAUAGCAUAUGUUAUUAUAAAAGUUAUGGAGGUGCCGUAAGUUAACACGUUAAGCGAGGCGCCUGAGUAGUAUAUUCGCAAGAAUGAAACUCAAAGGGAUAGGCGGGGGAACACACAAGCAGUGGAUGAUCUAGAUUAAUUGGAUACUAAGCCAAGAAUCUUACCCAGACUUGACAUGGAUUGUGUCUACGAUGAAAGUCGUAUAGCUGUAGCAAUACAGCGCUUUUCACAGAUGGUGCAUGGUCGUCGUCAGCUCGUGCCGCAAGGUGUCUAGUUAAGUCUAGUAACGAGCGCAACCCUCAUCGUUAGUUAAAUAUGUCUAACGAGACUGCCCGCGUAAGCGGGAGGAAGGAGAGGAUGACGUCAGAUCCUCAUGCCUCUUACGUCUGGGGCUUCAUAGAUCAUACAAUGGGUAGUUACAGCGAGAAGCGAUACCGCAAGGUGGAGCAAAUCUUUAAAGCUACCCUCAGUUCGGAUUGUAGUCUGGAAUUCGACUACAUGAAGUUGGAAUUGCUAGUAAUGGCGAAUCAGCCAUGUCGCCGUGAAUAUGUCCCUGUUCCUUGCACUCACCGCCCGUCAAACCAUGGGAGUUGAGGUUCUUUGAAGACUCGCAUUGCGGGUUAAGGAGAAAAUCGAUGACUGGGGUUAAGUCGUAACAAGGUAUCCCUACCGGAAGGUGGGGAUAGACCACCACC
rnacentral:rRNA from 1 species